GAUAUCGUUACCUUGGUUCGCUCCCCUAGUAUCAAACAGCCAGGCUCGCAUUUGCUGGAACAAUUUCGUUCAAUGUACCAAAGUGCCAAUGGAGAUGUGGCAUUCUCGGUGUAAGAAAACCUCUUGACCUGGAUGAAAGGAACGAAUCCUUAGCAGCUCCCCCAUGUUGUAAAUCGUUCGAUUUUUGUUGAAAGAAAUAUAUCGUGAGAAAUUGUUA